UACGUAGGGUGCGAGCGUUGUCCGGAAUUACUGGGCGUAAAGAGUUCGUAGGCGGUUUGUCGCGUCGUCUGUGAAAACCCAUCGCUCAACGAUGGGCCGGCAGGCGAUACGGGCAGACUUGAGUACUGCAGGGGAGACUGGAAGUUCCUGGUGGUAGCGGUGAAAUGCGCAGAUAUCAGGAGGAACACCGGUGGCGAAGGCGGGUCUCUGGGCCGAUGACUGACGCUGAGGAGCGAAAGCGUGGGGAGCGAACAGG
rnacentral:rRNA from 1 species